CCUACGGGAGGCAGCAGUGAGGAAUAUUGGUCAAUGGGCGCGAGCCUGAACCAGCCAAGUCGCGUGAGGGAAGACGGUCCUAUGGAUUGUAAACCUCUUUUGUCGGGGAGCAAAAGACGCCACGCGUGGCGGUCCGAGAGUACCCGAAGAAAAAGCAUCGGCUAACUCCGUGCCAGCAGCCGCGGUAAUAUGGAGGAUGCGAGCGUUAUCCGGAUGUAGUGGGUUUAAAGGGUGCGUAGGCGGACUUUUAAGUCAGCGGUAAAAUGUCCGGGCUCAACCCGGGCCGGCCGUUGAAACUGGGGAUCUUGAGUGGGCGAGAAGUAUGCGGAAUGCGUGGUGUAGCGGUGAAAUGCAUAGAUAUCACGCAGAACUCCGAUUGCGAAGGCAGCAUACCGGCGCCCGACUGACGCUGAGGCACGAAAGCGUGGGGAUCGAACAGGAUUAGAUACCCGUGUAGUC
rnacentral:rRNA from 1 species